UCAGAAGUGCGAAUGCUGACAUAAGUAACGAUAAAGCGGGUGAAAAGCCCGCUCGCCGGAAGACCAAGGGUUCCUGUCCAACGUUAAUCGGGGCAGGGUGAGUCGACCCCUAAGGCGAGGCCGAAAGGCGUAGUCGAUGGGAAACAGGUUAAUAUUCCUGUACUUGGUGUUACUGCGAAGGGGGGACGGAGAAGGCUAUGUUGGCCGGGCGACGGUUGUCCCGGUUUAAGCGUGUAGGCUGGUUUUCCAGGCAAAUCCGGAAAA
rnacentral:rRNA from 2 species